GACGAACGCUGGCGGCGUGCUUAACACAUGCAAGUCGAACGGAAAGGCCCCUUUGGGGGUACUCGAGUGGCGAACGGGUGAGUAACACGUGAGUAACCUGCCCUUGACUUCGGGAUAACUUCAGGAAACUGGGGCUAAUACCGGAUAGGAAUCCUUGCUGCAUGGUGGGGGUUGGAAAGCUUCAGCGGUUUUGGAUGGACUCGCGGCUUAUCAGCUUGUUGGUGGGGUAGUGGCUUACCAAGGCUUUGACGGGUAGCCGGCCUGAGAGGGCGACCGGCCACAUUGGGACUGAGAUACGGCCCAGACUCCUACGGGAGGCAGCAGUGGGGAAUAUUGCACAAUGGGCGGAAGCCUGAUGCAGCAACGCCGCGUGCGGGAUGACGGCCUUCGGGUUGUAAACCGCGUUCAGCAGGGGCGAAGCUUGUGGUGACGGUACCUGCAGAAGAAGCACCGGCUAACUACGUG
rnacentral:rRNA from 1 species